rnacentral:rRNA from 1 species
GGUUCAGGAUGAACGCUGGCGGCGUGCUUAACACAUGCAAGUCGAACGAAGUUAAGGAGCUUGCUUUAACUUAGUGGCGGACGGGUGAGUAACGCGUGGGUAACCUGCCUUUCACAGGGGGAUAACAGUUAGAAAUGACUGCUAAUACCGCAUAAGCGCACAGGACGGCAUCGUCUAGUGUGAAAAAACUCCGGUGGUGAAAGAUGGACCCGCGUCUGAUUAGCUAGUUGGUGAGGUAACGGCUCACCAAGGCGACGAUCAGUAGCCGGCCUGAGAGGGUGAACGGCCACAUUGGGACUGAGACACGGCCCAAACUCCUACGGGAGGCAGCAGUGGGGAAUAUUGCACAAUGGGGGAAACCCUGAUGCCAGCGACGCCGCGUGAGUGAAGAAGUAUUUCGGUAUGUAAAGCUCUAUCAGCAGGGAAGAAAAUGACGGUACCUGACUAAGAAGCCCCGGCUAACUACGUGCCAGCCGCUGC